CAUGGCUCAGAACGAACGCUGGCGGCAUGCCUAACACAUGCAAAGUCGAACGAGACCUUCGGGUCUAGUGGCGCACGGGUGCGUAACGCGUGGGAAUCUGCCCUUGGGUUCGGAAUAACAGUUAGAAAUGACUGCUAAUACCGGAUAAUGUCUUCGGACCAAAGAUUUGUCGCCCAGGGAUGAGCCCGCGUAGGAUUAGCUAGUUGGUGAGGUAAAAGGCUCACCAAGGCGACGAUCCUUAGCUGGUCUGAGAGGAUGAUCAGCCACACUGGGACUGAGACACGGCCCAGACUCCUACGGGAGGCAGCAGUGGGGAAUAUUGGACAAUGGGCGAAAGCCUGAUCCAGCAAUGCCGCGUGAGUGAUGAAGGCCUUAGGGUUGUAAAGCUCUUUUACCCGGGAUGAUAAUGACAGUACCGGGAGAAUAAGCCCCGGCUAACUCCGUG
rnacentral:rRNA from 1 species